UACGAAGGGUGCAAGCGUUUAAUCGGAAUUACUGGGCGUAAAGCGCACGUAGGCGGCUUUGUAAGUUAGAGGUGAAAGCCCGGGGCUCAACUCCGGAAUUGCCUUUAAGACUGCAUCGCUAGAAUUGUGGAGAGGUAAGUGGAAUUCCGAGUGUAGAGGUGAAAUUCGUAGAUAUUCGGAAGAACACCAGUGGCGAAGGCGGCGAUCUGGGUCGAUACUGACGCUGAGGUGCGAAAGCGUGGGGAGCAACAGG
rnacentral:rRNA from 1 species